CGGGUGAGUAACGCGUGAGGAACCUGCCUCAAAGAGGGGGACAACAGUUGGAAACGACUGCUAAUACCGCAUAAGCCCACAGCUCGGCAUCGAGCAGAGGGAAAAGGAGCAAUCCGCUUUGAGAUGGCCUCGCGUCCGAUUAGCUAGUUGGUGAGGUAACGCCCACCAAGGCGACGAUCGGUAGCCGGACUGAGAGGUUGAACGGCCACAUUGGGACUGAGACACGGCCCAG
rnacentral:rRNA from 1 species